AGCGAACGCUGGCGGCAGGCCUAACACAUGCAAGUCGAACGGAUCCUUCGGGAUUAGUGGCGGACGGGUGAGUAACACGUGGGAACGUGCCCUUUGGUUCGGAACAACUCAGGGAAACUUGAGCUAAUACCGGAUGUGCCCUUCGGGGGAAAGAUUUAUCGCACUUGGAGCGGCCCGCGUCUGAUUAGCUAGUUGGUGAGGUAACGGCCCACCAAGGCGUCGAUCAGUAGCUGGUCUGAGAGGAUGAGCAGCCACACUGGGACUGAGACACGGCCCAGACUCCUACGGGAGGCAGCAGUGGGGAAUCUUGCGCAAUGGGCGAAAGCCUGACGCACCCAUGCCGCGUGAAUGAUUAAGUUCUUAGGAUUGUAAAAUUCUUUAAGCGGGGACGAUAAUGACGGUACCCGCAGAAGAAGCUCCGGCUAACUUCGUG
rnacentral:rRNA from 1 species